GGUGGCUUGGUGGUAGAGUGCUUGCCUUGCAUGCAUGAGGCCCUGGGUUCAAUUCCUCAGCACCA
rnacentral:tRNA from 1 species